rnacentral:tRNA from 1 species
CCGCCCGUAGCUCAGCUGGUAGAGCAGGGGACUCUUAAUCCCAAGGUCGAAGGUUCGAAUCCUUCCGGGCGGA